UAGCGUAUAUUAAAGUUGUUGCAGUUAGAACGCUCGUAGUCGGAUUUCGGGGCGGGUCGACCGGUCUGCCGAUGGGUACGCACUGGCCGACGCGUCCUUCCUUCCGGAGACCGUCUCACUCUUAACUGAGCGGAGGCGGGAGACGGAAUUUUUACUUUGAAAAAAUCAGAGUGUUUCAAGCAGGCAGCUCGCUCUUGCAUGGAUUAGCAUGGGAUAAUGAAAUAGGACUUUGGUGCUAUUUUGUUGGUUUCGAACACCGAAGUAAUGAUGAGAAGGGACAGUCAGGGGCACUCGUAUUCCGCCGAGAGAGGUGAAAUUCUCAGACCAGCGGAAGACGAACCACUGCGAAAGCAUUUG
rnacentral:rRNA from 1 species